rnacentral:rRNA from 1 species
UACGUAGGUGGCAAGCGUUAUCCGGAAUUAUUGGGCGUAAAGCGCGCGCAGGUGGUUUCUUAAGUCUAAUGUGAAAGCCCACGGCUCAACCGUGGAGGGUCAUUGGAAACUGGGAGACUUGAGUGCAGAAGAGGAAAGUGGAAUUCCAUGUGUAGCGGUGAAAUGCGUAGAGAUAUGGAGGAACACCAGUGGCGAAGGCGGCCGACUGGGCCGACCCUGACGCUGAGGCGCGAAGGCGUGGGGAGCGAACGGG